UACGUAGGUGACAAGCGUUGUCCGGAUUUACUGGGCGUAAAGAGCGCGCAGGCGGUCGUUCAAGUCGAGUGUGAAAGCCCCCGGCUCAACUGGGGAGGGUCAUUCGAUACUGAUCGACUCGAAGGCAGGAGAGGGUAGUGGAAUUCCCGGUGUAGUGGUGAAAUGCGUAGAUAUCGGGAGGAACACCAGUGGCGAAGGCGACUACUUGGCCUGUUCUUGACGCUGAGGCGCGAAAGCUAGGGGAGCAAACGGG
rnacentral:rRNA from 1 species